rnacentral:rRNA from 1 species
CACGGAGUUAGCCGAUGCUUUUUCUUCGGAUACACGCGGUCCGGGACACGUCCCGGGUUUUGUUCUCCGACAAAAGAGGUUUACAACCCAUAGGGCCGUCUUCCCUCACGCGGCUUGGCUGGUUCAGGAUCUCUCCCAUUGACCAAUAUUCCUCACUGCUGCCUCCCGUAGGAGUCUGGUCCGUGUCUCAGUACCAGUGUGGGGGACCUUCCUCUCAGAACCCCUACGCAUCGUCGCCACGGUGGGCCGUUACCCCGCCGUCAAGCUAAUGCGCCGCAUGCCCAUCCUCUUCCGAUGAAUCUUUCCUCGAUCUCGGAUGCCCGAAACCGAUAUACGCGGGAUUAGCCUCCCUUUCGGAAGGUUGUCCCCCUGAAGAGGGCAGGUUGCAUACGUGUUACUCACCCGUGCGCCGGUCGCCGGCAAGGAAAGCAAGCUUCCCUCCCGAUGCCCCUCGACUUGCAUGUGUUAAGCCUGCCGCUAGCGUUCAUCCUGAGCCAGGAUCAAACUCU